GAUGAACGCUAGCGGCAGGCUUAAUACAUGCAAGUCGAGGGGCAGCAGGACGGUAGCAAUACCGUUGCUGGCGACCGGCAAACGGGUGCGGAACACGUACGCAACCUACCCAUAACUGGGGGAUAGCCCGGGGAAACCCGGAUUAAUACCUCGUAACCUUAUGAAGUGGCAUCGCUUUAUAAGUAUAGCUCCGGCGGUUAUGGAUGGGCGUGCGCCUGAUUAGGUAGUUGGCGGGGUAACGGCCCACCAAGCCUGCGAUCAGUAACUGGUGUGAGAGCACGACCAGUCACACGGGCACUAAGACACGGGCCCGACUCCUACGGGAGGCAGCAGUAAGGAAUAUUGGUCAAUGGACGCAAGUCUGAACCAGCCAUGCCGCGUGAAGGAUGAAGGUCCUCUGGAUUGUAAACUUCUUUUAUAGGGGAAGAAAUCUGAAUAUUCCUAUUCAGUUGACGGUACCCUAGGAAUAAGCACCGGCUAACUCCGUGCCAGCCGCCGCCGUAAUAC
rnacentral:rRNA from 1 species